GUAAACGAAAAAACCACCCUGGCAGGUGGUUUUUCGAAGGUUAGCUAAUCCUGGCAGAUUAUCUAACCGGGUAACUGGCUUGGAGGAGCGCAGUCACCAAAAUCUGUUCUUUCAGUUUAGCCUUAACAGGUGCAUAACUUCAAGACAAACUCCUCUAAAUCAGUUACCAGUGGCUGCUGCCAGUGGCGAUAAGUCGUGUCUUACCGGGUUGGACUCAAGACGAUAGUUACCGGAUAAGGCGCAGCGGUCGGGCUGAACGGGGGGUUCGUGCACACAGCCCAGCUUGGAGCGAACGACCUACACCGAACUGAGAUACCAACAGCGUGAGCUAUGAGAAAGCGCCACGCUUCCCGAAGGGAGAAAGGCGGACAGGUAUCCGGUAAGCGGCAGGGUCGGAACAGGAGAGCGCACGAGGGAGCUUCCAGGGGGAAACGCCUGGUAUCUUUAUAGUCCUGUCGGGUUUCGCCGACUCUGACUUGAGCGUCGAUUUUUGUGAUGCUCGUCAGGGGGGCGGAGCCUAUGGAAAAAC
rnacentral:lncRNA from 1 species